AAAAUACUCAACAAAAUCCUCACAAA
rnacentral:misc_RNA from 1 species